GCCGAUGUGGCGGAACGGUAUACGCAGCGUCUUCAGACGGCGUGGCCUAGGGCAUGAGGGUUCGACUCCCUCCAUCGGCA
rnacentral:tRNA from 1 species